GACGAACGCUGGCGGCGUGCUUAACGCAUGCAGGUCGAACGAUGUGGCCAACGGGUGAAUAAUACGUGGGUAACCUGCCCUCCUUUUUGGGAUAAGCCUUGGGAACGGGGUCUAAUACCGAAUAAAGGGGGAUGGGCUCGCGGCCUAUCCGCUUGUUGGUGGGGUGAUGGCCUACCACGGCGGUGACGGGUAGCCGGCCUGAGGGGGUGAACGGCCACAGUGGGUGUGUGAUACGGCCCAGGCUCCUACGGGGGGGAACAGUGGGGGCUACUUCACCAGGGUCGGAAGCGUGAUGGAGCGACGGCGCGUGGGGGUGGAACGGUUUCGGGUUUUAAAGCUCUUUCUCUGUCCCACGGGUAGGUGGAGAGGAAGCGCCGGCUAACUACGUGCCAGCAGCCGCGGUAAUAC
rnacentral:rRNA from 1 species